UGGGGAAUAUUGGACAAUGGGGGAAACCCUGAUCCAGCAAUGCCGCGUGUAUGAUGAAGGUCUUCGGAUUGUAAAGUACUUUUAUAGGUGACGAUGAUGACGGUAACCUAUGAAUAAGCUCCGGCUAACUUCGUGCCAGCAGCCGCGGUAAUACGAAGGGAGCUAGCGUUGUUCGGAAUAACUGGGCGUAAAGGGCGCGUAGGUGGGUGAGUGCGUUAGAUGUGAAAGCCCCGGGCUUAACCUGGGAAUGGCAUUUAAUACGGCUCAUCUUGAGUGCGAGAGGGGGAAGCGGAAUGGCGAGUGGAGCAGUGAAAUGCAUUGAUAUUCGCUAGAACACCAGAGGCGAAGGCGGCUUUCUGGCUCGCAACUGACACUAAGGCGCGAAAGCGUGGGGAGCAAA
rnacentral:rRNA from 1 species